GUUCAUCAUGAAUGUGCCCUAUCUUGUCUGAUCUUGGAAGCCAAGCAGGGUCAAGCCUGGUUAGUAUUUGGACAGGAGACUAGGAGUGGAACAGAGGAAAACA
rnacentral:rRNA from 1 species